GGAAUUGACGGGGCCGCACAAGCGGUGGAGCAUGUGGUUUAAUUCGAAGCAACGCGAAGAACCUUACCAGGUCUUGACAUCCCCUGACAACCCAAGAGAUUGGGCGUUCCCCGUUCGGGGGGACAGGGUGACAGGUGGUGCAUGGUUGUCGUCAGCUCGUGUCGUGAGAUGUUGGGUUAAGUCCCGCAACGAGCGCAACCCUCGCCUCUAGUUGCCAGCAUUCGGUUGGGCACUCUAGAGGGACUGCCGGCGACAAGUCGGAGGAAGGUGGGGAUGACGUCAAAUCAUCAUGCCCCUUAUGACCUGGGCUACACACGUGCUACAAUGGGCGGUACAAAGGGCUGCGAACCCGCGAGGGGGAGCGAAUCCCAAAAAGCCGCUCUCAGUUCGGAUUGCAGGCUGCAACUCGCCUGCAUGAAGGCGGAAUCGCUAGUAACCGUCGGUCAGCAUUACGACGGUGAAUACGUUCCCGGGCCUU
rnacentral:rRNA from 1 species